rnacentral:hammerhead_ribozyme from 1 species
AUUCAGCUGAUGAGUCCCAAAUAGGACGAACAGUGUAUCCUGGAU